CUCAGAAGAGAGCUGCACAAAGCCACGCAGAUUAACUCUUCACAGAGUGAAAUGAGAUGUGUGAAACAAAGGGCAUUAGCUCCCUGGUUAGGCCAGGAUCCAAGGACCAUGAAUGAUGGACAACGCCUUCAUUGACUCAGCCCAAUUCUUGUGGAUCUGCCCUGUUUUACAAGUUCUGGACGUUCCCACUGGAAACAGGAUGAAACUCAUACAUCAGAUGCCUUCAGCUCACCAGACUCUGUUUAACGGCUGGAGGGGGGUGCAUAAGCAGAGAUUUUGCAUCAUGCAA